rnacentral:lncRNA from 1 species
UCAAAUAUAAAGCAUAUUUAAUUAUAUAUUUUUAGAGGUUUGUUUGUUUUUGACAAUUUUUGUUUGAGACGUUUUAGAGGCACUUGUGAUUGUGCAUAUGUGGUAAUUUGUGUGUGAAAUUGCUGAUGUGGAUGGCUGGAGAGGGACCAUCUUGUCGAAACCAUGACAUGACGGAUCCUUAUUGGUGAUCAUAGAUUCAAAGGGUGUGGCCCACUUAAAGAACGUUCCAGAUUUGAAAGAAGAGGCUGCCAAAGAGAGCAAUCCAAGUGGGAGUCUUAAAAAAUUGACACGUUCCACCUCGUCUGGGUAAAGGUAACGUUCUAAUCACUGGUACAUAUACUAGAACUAAAAAGAUUCCAUCUGAAAGCCCAUUGAUUUAUAAUCAAUAUCUUAGUUUCAAAUAUAUGUUACGAGAUUCAUAUUCACAAAUUGCCUUAUGACAUACAUGUAUUGAAGGCUAAGAUACCAAAUCUAUUUUUCACGAAAAAUUAUUCGAUGUAAUUAUACAAUGAUUAUAAGGUAACACUGAUUAUUGAGGAUUAAGUCUUGACACUUAUUGUUACUAGUAAAUAUAAAAAAUAAUUUCCUUUUCUUGGGAGCUUUUCACUUCAGACUAUAUUGUUUAUUUUUAAGUUGCAUAGAAUUUCUCAAUAACUAGCCUCUUUCAGUUUCAUGGUGCUGAUCUCAGAAAAAUCUUCAAUAUAUGCUAAUUGAAAUUUUAAUUGUUAGGUGUCUCUGUCCUUGAUAAAAAUAUUCAAAGCAAAUGACAUAAUUGCUAAUCCAAGAGACUAAAUUCAUUCUCACCUUCGCAUUCCUCGUCUUGAAAAAUUGAAUUCCAGCAGCGAUCGUCUUCAAAAAGAAGAGGUGCAGGAGCCAUUUCCACUUCUUUGCUUGUCUGGGACUUUCUAUCGUUCAUAUCUAUAACAGAAAUGAUCUUCUCCUUUAUACUUUCUUCAACGGUUUCCCC